GCAAGUCGAGCGGGGACUUCGGUCCUAGCGGCGAACGGGUGAGGAAUGCUUGGGAAUCUGCCUAGUAGUGGGGGAUAACGUUUCGAAAGGAACGCUAAUACCGCAUACGCCCUACGGGGGAAAGGGGGGGAUCUUCGGACCUCUCGCUAUUAGAUGAGCCCAAGUCGGAUUAGCUAGUUGGUGAGGUAAAGGCUCACCAAGGCGACGAUCCGUAGCUGGUCUGAGAGGAUGAUCAGCCACACUGGAACUGAGACACGGUCCAGACUCCUACAGGAGGCAGCAGUGGGGAAUAUUGGACAAUGGGCGAAAGCCUGAUCCAGCCAUGCCGCGUGUGUGAAGAAGGCCUUCGGGUUGUAAAGCACUUUAAGCGAGGAGGAAUGGCUGAGGGUUAAUAACCUUCAGCAGUGACGUUACUCGCAGAAUAAGCACCGGCUAACUCUGUGCCAGCAGCCGCGGUAAUACAGAGGGUGCAAGCGUUAAUCGGAAUUACUGGGCGUAAAGCGCGCGUAGGCGGUUGCGUAAGUUGGAUGUGAAAUCCCCGGGCUCAACCUGGGAAUUGCAUUCAAAACUGCGUGGCUAGAGUGUGGGAGAGGAAGGUAGAAUUCCAGGUGUAGCGGUGAAAUGCGUAGAUAUCUGGAGGAAUACCGAUGGCGAAGGCAGCCUUCUGGCCUAACACUGACGCUGAGGUGCGAAAGCAUGGGGAGCAAACAGGAUUAGAUACCCUGGUAGUCCAUGCCGUAAACGAUGUCUACUAGCCGUUGGGGGACUUGAUCCUUUAGUGGCGCAGCUAACGCAUUAAGUAGACCGCCUGGGGAGUACGGUCGCAAGACUAAAACUCAAAUGAAUUGACGGGGGCCCGCACAAGCGGUGGAGCAUGUGGUUUAAUUCGAUGCAACGCGAAGAACCUUUACUGGCCUUGACAUGUCUGGAAUCCUGUAGAGAUACGGGAGUGCCUUCGGGAAUCAGAACACAGGUGCUGCAUGGCUGUCGUCAGCUCGUGU
rnacentral:rRNA from 1 species